rnacentral:rRNA from 1 species
CCUACGGGAGGCAGCAGUGAGGAAUAUUGGUCAAUGGCCGAGAGGCUGAACCAGCCAAGUCGCGUGAGGGAAGAAUGUCCUAUGGAUUGUAAACCUCUUUUGUCAGGGAGCAAAGUCACCCACGUGUGGGUGUUGGAGAGUACCUGAAGAAAAAGCAUCGGCUAACUCCGUACCAGCAGCCGCGGUAAUACGGAGGAUGCGAGCGUUAUCCGGAUUUAUUGGGUUUAAAGGGUGCGUAGGCGGGUUAUCAAGUCAGCGGUAAAAGCGUGGAGCUCAACUCCAUCCAGCCGUUGAAACUGAUGAUCUUGAGUGGGCGAGAGGUAUGCGGAAUGCGUGGUGUAGCGGUGGAAUGCAUAGAUAUCACGCAGAACUCCGAUUGCGAAGGCAGCAUACCGGCGCCCGACUGACGCUGAAGCACGAAAGCGUGGGUAUCGAACAGGAUUAGAUACCCUAGUAGUC